GAGACUCAUCGUUAGCGAUUGGUUCUCGUUCGCGUUGGGCGCGAUGUUUGAGACGUGGUGUUCAUUUUUAAUGUCGCCUGUCGAUUUCACGCGUUCGCUGCGUAACGUUUGAUCUCGUUGACGUGCACUUCUCCUCUAGUAGGACGUCGCGACCCGCUGGGUGUCGAUUUUAAGGGCAUUAGAUUCGACUGUUCCGUCGUUAACUCGUACGUGGGCAGAGUCUUUUGAAUUCCCCUGAUCGACUGCUCGGCGGUAGUAAAGAACGGUAUUCAGCCGCACGCAAAUGCGUUCAGACUCGCCGCAAGCCAGACCAUUGUUAUUCUCGGGUGUGCGCACUUUGUGUCGUCGCCAGGGAGUGGUUGGCUGUUGGCGCGCGAUGUUCUCGAACUGGCUGUGUCAAUGUUAAUAUACCGGUCGGCGACGCUAUUGAUUUGGGUACUUUCAGGACCCGUCUUGAAACACGGACCAAGGAGUCUAACAUGUACGCGAGUCAUUGGGACUUUGAAACCUAAAGGCGAAUUGAAAGAGAAGAUCGACCUCGCGCCGAUCGAGGGAGGAUGAGUGUAGAUGAGGGACACAUUUGUGUGUACCUUUAAAUGCACUCCGCACUCCCGGGGCGUCUCGUUGUCAUUUGACUUGAGGCGCACCCAGAGCGUACACGUUGGGACCCGAAAGAUGGUGAACUAUGCCUGGUCAGGACGAAGUCAGGGGAAACCCUGAUGGAGGUCCGUAGCGAUUCUGACGUGCAAAUCGAUCGUCGGAACUGGGUAUAGG
rnacentral:rRNA from 1 species